GAUGAACGCUGGCGGCGUGCCUAAUACAUGCAAGUCGAGCGAACGGACGAGAAGCUUGCUUCUCUGAUGUUAGCGGCGGACGGGUGAGUAACACGUGGAUAACCUACCUAUAAGACUGGGAUAACUUCGGGAAACCGGAGCUAAUACCGGAUAAUAUUUUGAACCGCAUGGUUCAAAAGUGAAAGACGGUCUUGCUGUCACUUAUAGAUGGAUCCGCGCUGCAUUAGCUAAUUGGUAAGGUAACGGCUUACCAAGGCAACGAUGCAUAGCCGACCUGAGAGGGUGAUCGGCCACACUGGAACUGAGACACGGUCCAGACUCCUACGGGAGGCAGCAGUAGGGAAUCUUCCGCAAUGGGCGAAAGCCUGACGGAGCAACGCCGCGUGAGUGAUGAAGGUCUUCGGAUCGUAAAACUCUGUUAUUAGGGAAGAACAUAUGUGUAAGUAACUGUGCACAUCUUGACGGUACCUAAUCAGAAAGCCACGGCUAACUACGUGCCAGCAGCCGCGGUAAUACGUAGGUGGCAAGCGUUAUCCGGAAUUAUUGGGCGUAAAGCGCGCGUAGGCGGUUUUUUAAGUCUGAUGUGAAAGCCCACGGCUCAACCGUGGAGGGUCAUUGGAAACUGGAAAACUUGAGUGCAGAAGAGGAAAGUGGAAUUCCAUGUGUAGCGGUGAAAUGCGCAGAGAUAUGGAGGAACACCAGUGGCGAAGGCGACUUUCUGGUCUGUAACUGACGCUGAUGUGCGAAAGCGUGGGGAUCAAACAGGAUUAGAUACCCUGGUAGUCCACGCCGUAAACGAUGAGUGCUAAGUGUUAGGGGGUUUCCGCCCCUUAGUGCUGCAGCUAACGCAUUAAGCACUCCGCCUGGGGAGUACGACCGCAAGGUUGAAACUCAAAGGAAUUGACGGGGACCCGCACAAGCGGUGGAGCAUGUGGUUUAAUUCGAAGCAACGCGAAGAACCUUACCAAAUCUUGACAUCCUUUGACAACUCUAGAGAUGGAGCUUUCCCCUUCGGGGGACAAAGUGACAGGUGGUGCAUGGUUGUCGUCAGCUCGUGUCGUGAGAUGUUGGGUUAAGUCCCGCAACGAGCGCAACCCUUAAGCUUAGUUGCCAUCAUUAAGUUGGGCACUCUAAGUUGACUGCCGGUGACAAACCGGAGGAAGGUGGGGAUGACGUCAAAUCAUCAUGCCCCUUAUGAUUUGGGCUACACACGUGCUACAAUGGACAAUACAAAGGGCAGCGAAACCGCGAGGUCAAGCAAAUCCCAUAAAGUUGUUCUCAGUUCGGAUUGUAGUCUGCAACUCGACUACAUGAAGCUGGAAUCGCUAGUAAUCGUAGAUCAGCAUGCUACGGUGAAUACGUUCCCGGGUCU
rnacentral:rRNA from 1 species